rnacentral:lncRNA from 1 species
CUUUAAUCGCCCAGAGGCAAAGGCGCACAGUGCUUCCAAACCGGCUGCUAACUGGGUGGGAAUUUGCAAUCUUUGUUUCCCCCUCCUCCAACCUCCCCAGCUGCAGGCAGAUGUGAUUUUGAACUCUCUCUCCCCCUCUUUCUUUACUUUCCCCUCCUCCCUCCUCUACAGAGAGAGAUUUCUUUUUUAUGCUUCUCUCCCUCGAUUGCAAGACUCAAGAAGUCUUUUCUACCUUGGGAGAAGAGUAAGCUGGGCCUGAAGAGGUGAAGUAAUUCAGGGAGUGCCCAGGCCAUCCCAGUUGAGUUUCCGUGAUAACCAUGAAAGCUAAAGAGCUUUGCCACUCUGCAUCUAAGGAGCCAAGCCAAGAUGUUCAAGUUUGAUUCCUGUUCAGUAGAAGCCUUGGAAAUACAGGGAAGCACCUUCAAGCAGAACAGACUGAUGUAUGAAGGAAUCAACAGGAUGGCUUCACCAGCUUGGGAAGCAAUAAACACUGAGGGAGAAUUAAGGUGCCAGGAAUCCAGGUAACAGAAUUUUUAGUUACCAGAAAUACAUCCUCAAAUGAGGAAGGCAUGAGCCCUGCUGAGAACACUGUAAAACUUGAAGCAUUACAUAAAUGACCAGUUGUUAUUAUAUAUCUGCAAAGAUCCCAAAUGAUGCGCAGGUAAUCUCAGGUUUUCCCAUCAUUGUUUCCUCUCCUGAAGGAUAUCAUCGUGCCAUCUGCCCUAAAAGACAGAAUUUGGGCUUUUCUCAGAAUCACUAGAGGCAGCCUACUGAGUGAAAUAGAAGGUGUCCUCAAUUUGAACUCAGAGGACCAGGGUUCACAUCCUAGCUUUGCAACCUCGAGGCAAAUUACUUAACCUCUCUGGACCUCAUCUAUAAAAUGAGGGGGUCAAAUGAGAUGAUGAUUUCAAAGGUCCUUCCAAGCUCUUGAUCCUGUGAUUCUUGCACUCCUCCCCAGCAUCCACACACACACCAGCUUGGAACAGAGAAAAAGUGUAAGAAGCCCUCUUUCCUUCACAGACCUGCGAUGGGUUCGUUUUGGACCUGACUGAGCUAGCAGUAAAGGAGGCAGAUAGGAGAUUCAGUGUCCCCUAGAGAACCCAGUGAAGAGACAGAUUCACUGGUGGUGGGCUUAGGCACAAGCUGCUCUGGAGGCCAAUGUGAGAGAGCUGCCUGGGAGGACUUUUUGGAAUAAUGGAUCCUCUGUCUUUGGGAAUGGGACACUGAUUCAAAGCCAGGGAUGUUGCUUUUCAGAUUCCGCCAUCAGAAUUCCUAGGAAGUAAGUCAGUAGAAACAGAAUAGUUCAUACUGGCUCAUGUUUUCCCAGCUGGAGGGUGACUUCUCCAUCGGAUUUCAUAGCACUUUUUGCUUCUUUUGGGCAUUUCUCAUAUGAAUGAAUAAAGACUAUUAAGUUUCUCCA